rnacentral:rRNA from 2 species
GACAGAGGGUGCUAGCGUUGUUCGGAAUGACUGGGCGUAAAGGGCGCGUAGGCGGUUAUAUUAGUCAAGCGUGAAAGCCCCGGGCUUAACCCGGGAAUUGCGCCUGAAACGGUAUGACUAGAGGACGAGAGAGGAAAGCGGAAUUCCUAGUGUAGAGGUGAAAUUCGUAGAUAUUAGGAGGAACAUCAGAGGCGAAGGCGGCUUUCUGGCUCGUUACUGACGCUGAGGCGCGAAAGCGUGGGGAGCAAACAGG